rnacentral:lncRNA from 1 species
AUUUUGCCUCACGUGUGUUCAGUUAACUUAAUGAGCUCUCUAUAGGGGUAGCUUUCUUGAGAGACCGUUGCUAAGGGCCAGUCACACGUUUCUCACUGUUGUGAUGGAAACGUGAUUAGAUGCUGAUCCCAGCUCGGCAGAAUUGGCUGGAGUGUCUGGUUAGAGUGGCCUCUUCUGCAGGAGCCUGUGGGAUCUCACGGUGCAACAUCUGCAACCUUGUGAUUUCAGCAAAUGGACAAGAGGUGGCAACAUGCCAGGAGGUGGUGGUUCAGGAGGACUUCAGGGCCAUGCAGUUUGAGGGCACAUGUCCACUUUAGCUGCUGUGCCUGAGCUCCACCUGUGGUGGGCACCCAGGAACAGGACCUCUGUGGCCCCUGCCCUCCUGGCACUGGAUGAGGAGGUGAGAGUAAACAGAAAUGGUUAAUUGGCAAUUUGCAGAUACCUGGGCCUAAGUGCAAGUGGUCAGAAAGUCCCAGAGGAAAGAGAGGAUGGGGGCGUUCUAGGGGGCUGGAGUGGUCGGGAAAAGUAGCCCUUGAACUAGAAGGUAAGGGACCCUCAGGGCAGGAUGAAUCAGAAUAAAUCAGGACUGGAGGCAGGAGUAAGCCCCCCGGCAAAAGAUGGUGAUGGUCAUCAUGCAUUGACCGCCCUCUCCGGGCCAGACCCCCUUCUAAGUAUUUCUUCUUUCUGUCCUCACAACCACCUGAAAAGUGGUGCUAUUGUCCCAAUUUUACAGGUGAGAACCGAGGCCCAGAGAAGUUACACAUGUCCAUGGUCACAUGACUGGGCCUGUCAGCACCUCCUAAGCAGGAAGCAUUCACCUCUGAAGAGAACCAAAGGCGGGGGAGGCUUUGUUGGUGAUGCAGCUGUCAUAUCCUAUUAGUGCACGGGUGGGUCUCAGCGAGCACAGGAGGUAUGUCAUUUAUAGACAGAAAUUGCAUAAUUAAGCUUGAUAGAAUUUUGACGCUUUCUUGGCAGCGCAAUUUGUUCGUCAAGUAAAAAACCUUUAGGAAGUUCAUCACAUGGAAUUUGGAACUCCUGAGUUCAAGACUAGGUAUCUUUCACAGGUGGCACUGAGAACUCGGGAGCUGAUUUGAUUUAGGGCCAUCAUAAAGGCUCCCAAAAAGAGCCUCUUUUGCCUUUGGCUUCUGGAUUCAUACAUUCAGGUUUUAAUGGGAAAAACAACAUAGACAAAGCCAGAUUUCAUCCCACUUGGUUUGAGAACGUGGACCAUAUGCAUUGACUUUAGUUCCUUCCUAUUAAUUUCCUUUUUAAAAAUCAUUUUUUAUUGUGACAUAUAACUCAUGUACGGAAAAGUACACCAACCCCAAAUAUAUAGCCCAG